CAUUAUUAGAUAGGCUCUCCACUCCACAAGUCUGGUUUAUCCCAUACAUGCAUCUGACUUGUAGAUUUUCAGUGGGGUGACAUACUCCAAUCCUCAAGAUGCCGAAAGAGUGCGAAGCAACACCCCGAAAACCAAAAGUGAAGUAAAAGAGGACUAGGAUGAAAAUCCAUUUACUUCUUCGAGUGCCUUUUUAUGUCCUAUAAAUAUGACAUACUUUUUUUUCCAGUAAAAUUGGAGAGUUGUAGACUUAAGUGGUUGAAUCAAGAACCUCACUUACUGCACCCAAGGUGCUAGGCUCAGCCAUGAUGCAUGUUCCGCCAUUAUAAUCUCUACAAAAUGAUAGGAGGAUAGCAGAUCCAUGGCAUAUUCUUUAAGAGCUUUCAGUGUUUGACAUUGUAUCCAUACAUCCUAACGAUAUG